rnacentral:tRNA from 1 species
GUCGGAGUGGCGGAACUGGCAGACGCGCACGUUUGAGGGGCGUGUGAGCAAUCAUACGGGUUCAAGUCCCGUCUCCGACACCA